UCUUUUUGUUUUUUAUAUAAGGUCAGACCUGCCCAAUGAAUUUUAAAUGGCCGCAGUACUUUAACUGUGCAAAGGUAGCAUAAUAAUUUGUUUUUUAAUUGGAAACUAGUAUGAAUGGUCAUACGAGGGAUUGACUUUCUUUAUCUUACUUAAAUUAAUUUUAUUUUUCUGUGAAAAAGCAGAGAUUUCAUUAGUAGACGAUAAGACCCUUUAAAACUUUAUUCAUUAUAGAAGUAUAAUUUUGUUAGGUUUUAAUAGUGUACUUUUUUAAUGAGUUUUGUUGGGGCGACAGGUAAAUUUAUUUAACUUUAUUUUUGUUUUUCACUAAUUAGUGUUUAUUUGAUCCAGAUUUAGUUUUGAUUAUAAGUUUAAGUUACUUAA
rnacentral:rRNA from 1 species